rnacentral:rRNA from 1 species
UACGUGGGGGGCAAGCGUUGUUCGGAAUUACGGGGCGUAAAGGGCGCGUAGGUGGCCUUUUGAGUCAGACGUGAAAUCCCCCGGCUUAACCUGGGAACUGCGUCUGAUACUGGAAGGCUUGAGUUCGGGAGAGGGAUGUGGAAUUCCAGGUGUAGCGGUGAAAUGCGUAGAUAUCUGGAGGAACACCGGUGGCGAAGGCGGCAUCCUGGACCGACACUGACACUGAGGAGCGAAAGCCAGGGGAGCAAACGGG